rfam:Citrus sinensis cultivar Ridge Pineapple sweet orange scaffold00001_contig_147, whole genome shotgun sequence.
AAGCGAAGGGCCCAGCGGGGAGGUGAUAACUCUGAAAAUGAGAUCUCUCUAACAAUGCAGACAAACCCUUCGCAGAUUGAUUCGCCGAACAGUAGGAUGCCCUCAACUUCUCAAUUUUUGGAGCAUCCGGAACCCUCGGCUACAUGUUU